rnacentral:misc_RNA from 1 species
GGAAUAUUGGUCAAUGGACGCGAGUCUGAACCAGCCACGUAGCGUGAAGGAUGACUGCCCUAUGGGUUGUAAACUUCUUUUAUAUGGGAAUAAAGUGAGGAACGUGUUCCUUUUUGUAUGUACCAUAUGAAUAAGCAUCGGCUAACUCCGUGCCAGCAGCCGCGGUAAUACGGAGGAUGCGAGCGUUAUCCGGAUUUAUUGGGUUUAAAGGGUGCGUAGGUGGUUAAUUAAGUCAGCGGUGAAAGUUUGUGGCUCAACCAUAAAAUUGCCGUUGAAACUGGUUGACUUGAGUAUAUUUGAGGUAGGCGGAAUGCGUGGUGUAGCGGUGAAAUGCAUAGAUAUCACGCAGAACUCCGAUUGCGAAGGCAGCUUACUAAACUAUAACUGACACUGAAGCACGAAAGCGUGGGGAUCAAACAGGA